ACCAAGGAGUCUAACAUGUGCGCGAGCCGCGGGGCAGUACGAAACCCGUAAGGCGAAAUGAAGGUGAACGCCGGCGCGGUCCGGCGGAGGUUGGAUCCCGUCCCGUCGGGGCGGGCGCACUACCGGCCGAUCUUCUCCGCCCUGUCGGCGAGGUCGAGCGAGAGCGUGCAAGUCGGGACCCGAAAGAUGGUGAACUAUGCCUGAGGAGGUUGAAGCCAGAGGAAACUCUGGUGGAGGACCGUAGCGAUUCUGACGUGCAAAUCGAUCGUCAAAUUUGGGUAUAGGGGCGAAAGACUAAUCGAACCGUCUAGUAGCUGGUUCCCUUCGAAGUUUCCCUUUGAUUACGUCCCUGCCCUUUGUACACACCGCCCGUCGCUACUACCGAUUGAAUGGUUUAGUGAGGUCCUCCGAUUGGACCCGGUCCGGGCGGCGACGUCCGAGCCGGCGUCCGAGAAGACGAUCUAACUUGAUCAUUUAGAGGAAGU
rfam:Ciona savignyi cont_50121, whole genome shotgun sequence.